GUGAGGAAUAUUGGUCAAUGGGCGAGAGCCUGAACCAGCCAAAUCGCGUGAAGGAUGAAGGUAUUAUGUAUUGUAAACUUCUUUUAUCGGGGAAUAAAGUGCGGGACGUGUCCCGUUUUGUAUGUACCCGAAGAAUAAGGAUCGGCUAACUCCGUGCCAGCAGCCGCGGUAAUACGGAGGAUCCAAGCGUUAUCCGGAUUUAUUGGGUUUAAAGGGUGCGUAGGCGGACUGUCAAGUCAGCGGUGAAAGUCCAUGGCUCAACCAUGGAAUUGCCGUUGAAACUGUCGGUCUUGAGUGUAGAUGAGGUAGGCGGAAUUCGUAGUGUAGCGGUGAAAUGCUUAGAUAUUACGAAGAACUCCAAUUGCGUAGGCAGCUUACCAGGCUACAACUGACGCUGAGGCACGAAGGUGCGGGGAUCAAACAGGAUUAGAAACCCCGGUAGUCC
rnacentral:rRNA from 1 species